AGCGAACGCUGGCGGCAGGCCUAACACAUGCAAGUCGAACGAAGUCUUCGGACUUAGUGGCGGACGGGUGAGUAACACGUGGGAACGUGCCUUUAGGUUCGGAAUAACUCAGGGAAACUUGUGCUAAUACCGAAUGUGCCCUUCGGGGGAAAGAUUUAUCGCCUUUAGAGCGGCCCGCGUCUGAUUAGCUAGUUGGUGAGGGAAAGGCGCACCAAGGCGACGAUCAGUAGCUGGUCUGAGAGGAUGAUCAGCCACAUUGGGACUGAGCACACGGCCCAAACUCCUACGGGAGGCAGCAGUGGGGAAUCUUGCGCAAUGGGCGAAAGCCUGACGCAGCCAUGCCGCGUGAAUGAUGAAGGUCUUAGGAUUGUAAAAUUCUUUCACCGGGGACGAUAAUGACGGUACCCGGAGAAGAAGCCCCGGCUAACUUCGUGCCAGCCGCCGCCGUAA
rnacentral:rRNA from 1 species